GCGAGGAAAGACGCACUUAUUUUCUCUCGCUCUUCCUACUUAAUGUUGUGUGUGAUGUGGGAAGAGGUUGGCGCAACGAAAAAUAUUGAUCAAAUUGUCCCAUAUGUUUCCAGGGCGGGUCAAUAAAUUCAGCUGUUCUCAAGCCAUCCUGUUGUCUACUGUGUGAAAUUCGUUAUG